rnacentral:lncRNA from 1 species
CAUCUCCGGUCAGUUCUGUCUUAGCCUCCUCUUCUCCCUUUCUCCCUUCCAGGUCUAAAGGUGGAAGAGGGGAGUCCUGGAGGUGUUCUGCCUGCUGCAUCAUCUCCCCCUGCCCCAGCUUCACCCUCAUCUCCUCCUCCACAUAACGGCGAGCUGGAGCCGUCAUUUUCACCCAGUGCUGAGCCCCAGAUUGGGCCUGAGGAGGCCAUGGAGAGGCUGCAUCAGCCUGAUGGAGAAGAGGGGCUGUGGCACCCCUGCAGUGAUGGUCACAUUGGAACCUUGUGAAGGAGCUGAGACAUAUGUCAAUGGGAAGCUUGUGACGGAGCCGCUGGUGCUGAAGUCAGGCAACAGGAUUGUAAUGGGCAAGAACCAUGUGUUCCGCUUCAAUCACCCGGAGCAAGCACGGCUGGAACGAGAGCGAGGGGUCCCCCCACCCCCAGGACCUCCCUCUGAGCCUGUGGACUGGAACUUUGCUCAGAAGGAGCUGCUGGAGCAGCAAGGCAUAGACAUCAAGCUAGAGAUGGAGAAGAGGCUACAAGACUUGGAGAAUCAGUACCGGAAAGAAAAGGAA